CUUCAUCUUCUCACUUCAUCCUUCACAAGCAUCCUGCUGCUACCAUAAAAAAAAAACUAAUAUAACAAGUAAAUUCGAAGCAAAAACAAUAUUGAAUUAUAUUAACAAUAUAACUGGGUACCUGGAAUGUGCACCUUCAUUGGUGUAUUUAUGACGAACAACCCGCGCAACGAGGAGAGCGCACCGGCCGGCAAACCGCCGAAGCGAGAGAGGGGAUCGAGGAGGAGCGAAGCGGGGACGGCAGAGCUAGCUCAGGCCUGGAGAGAACUCAUGCGAGAAACCGAACUUCUUCCUGCUUUUUUCAAAGGCGCUUACUGCAGACUAAAAAGGUGGACACCGCCCCGCCUCCACACUCACUGUCACUGGCAGCAGGACAUCUUUCACGUGGGAACGGCUCGACCGGCUAAAUUGGACUCACAUCAGUAGAUUUGUUUAUUUUAUUUUAUUUACACCCUUUGGGAAAGGUUUCAUUGUUUAGUUUUUUCAUUGUAAAUAAAUUAAUGUAAAGGUGUACAUUUUGGUUUAAUUGUU